rnacentral:rRNA from 1 species
UACGUAGGGGGCUAGCGUUGUCCGGAAUCAUUGGGCGUAAAGCGCGUGUAGGCGGUCCGGUAAGUCCGCUGUGAAAGUCGGGGGCUCAACCCUCGAAUGCCGGUGGAAACUGUCGGGCUAGAGUACGGAAGAGGCGAGUGGAAUUCCUGGUGUAGCGGUGAAAUGCGCAGAUAUCAGGAAGAAUAUCCGGUGGCGAAGGCGGCUCUCUGGGACGGUACUGACGCUGAGACGGCGAAAGCGUGGGGAGCGAACAGG